GCGGGUGUAGCUCAAUGGUAGAGCCCCAGCCUUCCAAGCUGAUUACGCGGGUUCGAUUCCCGUCACCCGCUCCA
rnacentral:tRNA from 1 species